rnacentral:rRNA from 1 species
UACGAAGGGGGCGAGCGUUGUUCGGAUUUACUGGGCGUAAAGCGCACGUAGGCGGCUUGUUAAGUCAGGGGUGAAAUCCUGGAGCUCAACUCCAGAACUGCCUUUGAUACUGGCGAGCUUGAGUCCGGGAGAGGUGAGUGGAACUCCGAGUGUAGAGGUGAAAUUCGUAGAUAUUCGGAAGAACACCAGUGGCGAAGGCGGCUCACUGGCCCGGUACUGACGCUGAGGUGCGAAAGCGUGGGGAGCAAACAGG